rnacentral:rRNA from 1 species
CCUACGGGUGGCAGCAGUAGGGAAUAUUGCUCAAUGGGGGAAACCCUGAAGCAGCAACGCCGCGUGGAUGAUGAAGGUUUUAGGAUUGUAAACUCCUUUUGUUAGAGAAGAUUAUGACGGUAUCUAACGAAUAAGCACCGGCUAACUCCGUGCCAGCAGCCUCGGUAAUACGGAGGGUGCAAGCGUUACUCGGAAUCACUGGUCGUAAAGAGUGCGUAGGCGGGGUAAUAAGUCAGAGGUGAAAUCCUGUAGCUUAACUACAGAACUGCAUUUGAAACUGUUACUCUGGAGGGUGGGAGGGGGGGGGAGAAUUCUGGGGGUAGGGGUAAAAGCGGAAGAG